GAAACUGAAAUCGCUAAAAUCCCUGUAGUGAAACACUUGAAGAUAUAUGCAUCCGUUUUAAAGGUUACUUUGUGCAUCAGUGUUUCAGUGGUAGGUUACUAAAAAAAACUAAAUAAACAAAUAAAGUAGGUAGGCGUAACUGGCGCUGUCGGAUGAAUCAAACGUGCAGUUAAGGGGCCUAACGCGACUUUGCUCAUGAAAUACAAAAUGGUGUGUUGGUUGGUCCAGACAUCAUGAUGAUACCUAUGAAAGUCGGAAACCACUAAGGAGAGUGCAUAACAACUAACUCACCUGCCGAAUCAUCCAACCCCCCCACUGAAAAUGGAUAGAUGCCCCCGAGUAUUGAACCUAUCUAUACUGUACACCGUUGCUACAAGUUGAACCUAAGCAGGAUGAAACCAAACUGACUCGGCACAGACAUACAGGAGUACGCGACGACGAGUA
rnacentral:ncRNA from 1 species